ACCUGGUUGACCCUGCCAGUAGUCAUAUGCUUGUCUCAGAGAUUAAGCCAUGCAUGUCUAAGUACAUACCUUUAAACGGUGAAACCGCGGAUGGCUCAUUAAAUCAGCUAUGGUUCCUUGGACCGUACAUACUAUAUGGAUAACUGUGGUAGUUCUAGAGCUAAUACAUGCCACUAUGUCCUGACCCGUGAGGGAAUGGGUGGAUGUACUAGAACAGAACCAACCAGGGGCGACUUCGGUCGUCCCUGUUGCAUUCUGUGAUGACUGUGGAUAACUUCACUGAUCGCAGUCGGCCUUGUGUCGGCGACGGAUCUUUCAAAUGUCUGCCUAUCAAUUUUCGACGGUAGGUGACCUGCCUACCAUGGUGCUAACGGGUAACGGGGAAUCAGGGUUCGAUUCCGGAGAGGGAGCCUGAGAAACGGCUACCACUUCCAAGGAAGGCAGCAGACACGCAAAUUACCCAAUCCCGGCACGAGGAGGUAGUGACGAAAAAUACGGAUACGGGACUCACUAGAGGCUCCGUAAUUCGAAUGAGUACAAUUUAAAUCCUUUAACGAGGAUCAACUGGAGGGCAAGUCUAGUGCCAGCAGCCGCGGUAACUCCAGCUCCAGAAGCGUAUAUUAAAGUUGUUGCAACUAAAAAGCUCGUAGUUGGAUCUGGGUCGCAUGGCUACAUGCCGUCGCUCGUGGGUCUGGUCUGGUUACUGCCGGGAUGAGCUUGCGAGUCGGUCCCGCGAUUGUGCUUCCUUUCUGCUUUGUCUGUUUACACCUCUAGGACCACUUCUUGCUGACAUUUUCAUUGCAAAACUGGAAACUCAAGCAAUACGCAGAACAGUAAGUCGAUUGGACCACUACUACCGAUAAGUGGAUGAUAUAUUUUGCAUAAGAGAUGCACAAACCAAUUUAGAUGAUAUAUCAGGAGAGUUCAACACUACGCAUUCCGCAAUCAGGUUCACCACCGAGAUGGAAGAAGGAAAUUGCCUACCGUUUCUUGAUGUACACUUAACCAGACGACCUGAUGGCUCGAUCCAGAGGAAGGUGUAUCGGAAAGCGACCUGGAAUGGCCAGUACACAAACUUUCACAGUUUUGUGCCACUUGGUUACAAACGUAAUCUGUACAGGGCGAAACAUAUCUGCACUGCAGAUACUCUGGAGGCCGAGCUAUCAAACAUAAGGAAGACGCUACUUGGCAACGGUUAUCCUGAGAAAUUUAUCCAAAGAAACUGGACUGAACGGAUGAAACCAGUGAGAAUCACACAGGCAGAAAAGAAAGUAUUAUUCAUCCGACUCCCCUUCAAGAGAGAUGUCGCAGCCGAUAGAGUCUGUAAACUUUUGAGUGCCACGGUUGAGUCCACCUUCAACGCUACCAACAUCAGAUGCGUGUUUUUCACGUCACCAAUAAUCCGAUGUGAAAAUAAAGAUAAGCUGCACUUGUUGACUUCAUCCAUGAUCAUCUAUCAAUUCAGGUGCACCUGUGGUGCUACUCACAUAGGUCGAACGACAAGACAGCCAUUAAAACGCAUUAAGGAACAUCAUUCACGAUGGCUUAGACACGGAGGCAAUGAAGUAGUAUCAACUUCAAUCGUCGCGCACUUGUCAGAAACUGGGCAUUUAAUCGACAUCCAGUCCGCCUUCAAAGUCAUCUACCGGGUCCCACAACACGUGUCAAGAGCAAUUAGGCUCCGGAUACUAGCAACUGCCGAGGCAAUUAUCAUCCGACUCUCGAAGCCUGAGCUUUGCGCGCAGCGAAAAUUAGUCUAAGCACUACAACUCCCAUGGCCAACACAACUGUUACACAGCCGGGCGCAGCGUUGACGUAAGCUAAUUAGCACCGUUUACAUAAUCUGAUCAUUCACAUGGGUUCCCGUCCUUCCUCACUCUUAAUUCUCCGUAAUGACUUAGUGAGACUUUUUCCAACUCUUCUCAAUAAUUCAUUUUCAUAUAAAUGUGACUGCAAUGGUUUGAGAAUGAAAUCACCGAAAACAAAUGUUCGCCUACAACUCGUAUUCUGAGUACUAUGAUAGGCUUGUUCGGCAGCCUAAGAAGAUCGUCUUUCCAAAUUCGGAGACUAGGGCAGCUGGUGCCAUACAAGCUGUCAUUUUUUUCUUCUGUCCAUCAAUGUAUUCUCCCAGUCCUAGUCUACUGCUCUUCCAUAAUCUUUCGCUGACUGGCCAUUAGCGGUCGCGUUUCUUUGAUUUCCAUAAGCUGUCUCAUUUCCAAAGUUUGUGAUUCCCACAGUAUAAAACGUGAAAAAUUCACAGUGAAGACUCUUGCGAACCCCACUCAUCCCCUGCACCGUGACUUAUGUGCAUGUCUUUCGCAUCCCUCCACACAUUUCGCAUUUAGACUUAUCCCGAUCCGGAAAAAUGUCUACCGCAACUCUGCAAUGCCUUGCACAGCACGUGUUCUGGUUGGGAUUGUAUCGACGACAUCCUUACCCGUCGAGAAAUUUUACGACACGGGCAUACUUUCCGUGGGUAUGAAAGCCUUGACCAGUGGACUUGGCCAAGUAGGACGUGUUAGAUUUCCAGGUUGGGUCCACGGAACUCACAGAAGAGAUGGUUGGAGACAAUAAGUUAUAUGGCGAGGUGUCGCGGCCAGUGGCGUAGUUGCAUUCGAACUCUUUCUUUGUAUUCGUGAGUAUCCCUUAUUACUGGGAUUUUUGUUCUUUCACUUUAUGUUUUUGUUUCCUUUUGCCCGUUACUCGACGAUGUUGCGAGGAAACAACCGUACCCAAAGCACACAAGUGCGAGGUUAAUGAUUCAGUGAACAGAACUCAAUUGCCUUUAUUGAUUAGAAAGCGGCAUUUAAUUCAGUCGACCGUAGUUUUCUGGCACUGCCUCUGAUUGAAGGGUGCGCCAGAGAAUGCUUGCAUGUAAACAGCCGAAGCCGAGUCC
rnacentral:rRNA from 1 species